rnacentral:rRNA from 1 species
CCUACGGGAGGCAGCAGUGAGGAAUAUUGGUCAAUGGGCGUAAGCCUGAACCAGCCAAGUCGCGUGAGGGAUGAAGGUUCUAUGGAUCGUAAACCUCUUUUAUAAGGGAAUAAAGUGUGGGACGUGUCCUGUUUUGUAUGUACCUUAUGAAUAAGGAUCGGCUAACUCCGUGCCAGCAGCCGCGGUAAUACGGAGGAUCCGAGCGUUAUCCGGAUUUAUUGGGUUUAAAGGGUGCGUAGGCGGCCUUUUAAGUCAGCGGUGAAAGUCUGUGGCUCAACCAUAGAAUGGCCGUUGAAACUGGGAGGCUUGAGUAUGUUUGAGGCAGGCGGAAUGCGUGGUGUAGCGGUGAAAUGCUUAGAUAUCACGCAGAACCCCGAUUGCGAAGGCAGCCUGCCAGGCCAUGACUGACGCUGAUGCACGAAAGCGUGGGGAUCAAACAGGAUUAGAUACCCCAGUAGUC